rnacentral:misc_RNA from 1 species
AAUUCUCAACCCUUCUUACUUUUUUGGUUAAGGAUGGGAUUGGAUAGUGGAGGCUUUGCCGGAUGUUCAACGUUCGGCUCCUCUGAAAUGCAUUAGCGGUACAACUAUUUACUUGGGCUACGCUAAGCUGUGAUAAUAUCUAAGCUAGCUGGUUCAGAGUGUUGGCGGAGUUCGGGCUUUUGAAGGGUUUUGCCUCGCCGCUCCCUUCGCGUUCUCUCUUCGGAGGGAUACCUAUGCGACUCUGUGAAAAAGUGUUGUUGCGGCUUCCAACCGUCUCUUAAAACUGGGACAAACCUUUUAAACUGAUU